UCCAGUAAGACUCACGGGAAGCCGAUGUUCCGUCGUACGUUUUGAAAAACGAGCCAGGGAGUGUGUCUGUAUGGCAAGUCUAACCGGAGUAUCCGGGGAGGCACAGGGAAACCGACAUGGCCGCAGGGCUUUGCCCGAGGGCCGCCGUGUUCAAGCGCGGGGAGCCACACGGACACGACCCGAAUCCGGACGAUCUACGCAUGGACAAGAUGAAGCGUGCCGAAAGGCACGUGGAAGUCUGUUAGAGUUGGUGUCCUACAAUACCCUCUCGUGAUCUAUGUGUAGGGGUGAAAGGCCCAUCGAGUCCGGCAACAGCUGGUUCCAAUCGAAACAUGUCGAAGCAUGACCUCCGCCGAGGUAGUCUGUGAGGUAGAGCGACCGAUUGGUGUGUCCGCCUCCGAGAGGAGUCGGCACACCUGUCAAACUCCAAACUUACAGACGCUGUUUGACGCGGGGAUUCCGGUGCGCGGGGUAAGCCUGUGUACCAGGAGGGGAACAACCCAGAGAUAGGUUAAGGUCCCCAAGUGUGGAUUAAGUGUAAUCCUCUGAAGGUGGUCUCGAGCCCUAGACAGCCGGGAGGUGAGCUUAGAAGCAGCUACCCUCUAAGAAAAGCGUAACAGCUUACCGGCCGAGGUUUGAGGCGCCCAAAAUGAUCGGGACUCAAAUCCACCACCGAGACCUGUCCGUACCACUUAUACUGGUAAUCGAGUAGAUUGGCGCUCUCAUUGGGUGGAAGCAGGGAUGAGAAUUCCUGUGGACCGAUGAGUGACGAAAAUCCUGGCCAUAGUAGCAGCGAUAGUCGGGUGAGAACCCCGACGGCCUAAUGGAUAAGGGUUCCUCAGCACUGCUGAUCAGCUGAGGGUUAGCCGGUCCUAAGUCAUACCGCAACUCGACUAUGACGAAAUGGGAAAC
rnacentral:rRNA from 1 species